AGUGAACGCUGGCGGUAGGCCUAACACAUGCAAGUCGAACGGCAGCACAGUAAGAGUUUGCUCUUACGGGUGGCGAGUGGCGGACGGGUGAGGAAUACAUCGGAAUCUACUUUUUCGUGGGGGAUAACGUAGGGAAACUUACGCUAAUACCGCAUACGACCUACGGGUGAAAGCAGGGGAUCUUCGGACCUUGCGCGAUUGAAUGAGCCGAUGUCGGAUUAGCUAGUUGGCGGGGUAAAGGCCCACCAAGGCGACGAUCCGUAGCUGGUCUGAGAGGAUGAUCAGCCACACUGGAACUGAGACACGGUCCAGACUCCUACGGGAGGCAGCAGUGGGGAAUAUUGGACAAUGGGCGCAAGCCUGAUCCAGCCAUACUGCGUGGGUGAAGAAGGCCUUCGGGUUGUAAAGCCCUUUUGUUGGGAAAGAAAAGCAGCAGGUUAAUACCCCGCUGUUCUGACGGUACCCAAAGAAUAAGCACCGGCUAACUUCGUG
rnacentral:rRNA from 1 species